rnacentral:snRNA from 1 species
GUGUGCACUUCAGCAGCACAUAUACUAAAAUUGGAAUGGUACAGAAAAGAUUAGCAUAGCCCCU